UUGAGACAGGUGGUGCAUGGUUGUCGUCAGCUCGUGUCGUGAGAUGUUGGGUUAAGUCCCGCAACGAGCGCAACCCUUGUGUUUAGUUGCAAACAGGUCAAGCUGUGCACUCUAGACAGACUGCCGUGGACAGCACGGAGGAAGGUGGGGAUGACGUCAAAUCAUCAUGCCCCUUAUGAUCUGGGCUACACACGUGCUACAAUGGCCGGUACAACGGGCAGCGAAGGAGCGAUCCGGAGCGAAUCCUAAAAAGCCGGUCCCAGUUCGGAUUGCAGGCUGAAACUCGCCUACAUGAAGUUGGAGUUGCUAGUAAUCGCGAAUCAGAAUGUCGCGGUGAAUGCGUUCCCGGGUCUU
rnacentral:rRNA from 1 species